GAUGCUCUCGCGGGAGAGUUCGGGACCGGCAGGCCGGCCCCCGACGCCGAAGGCGCAACCGCCCCGGAAACGCUCAGGCAAACGGACCGCGACAGCAUA
rfam:Caulobacterales bacterium RIFCSPHIGHO2_01_FTLL_67_30 rifcsphigho2_01_scaffold_456436, whole genome shotgun sequence.